GAGGCCCCAAGCGUUACUGUGAAUCACUGGGUUUAAAGGGUGCGUAGGUGGUCCGUUAAGUUCGUUGUGAAAUCCCUGGGCUCAACCCAGGAAAUGCUUCGAAUACUGGCGGACUUGAGGCUAGUAGAGGUCACUGGAACUGACGGUGGAGCGGUGAAAUGCGUAGAUAUCGUCAGGAACGCCGAUGGUGAAGACAGGUGACUGGGCUAGUUCUGACACUGAGGCACGAAAGCGUGGGGAGCGAACGGGAUUAGAUACCCCGGUAGUCCACGCCCUAAACGAUGCAGACUAGACUGCAGCGGGUUACACCCCGUUGCGGUCGGAGCGAAAUUGUUAAGUCUGCCCCUUGGAAAGUACGGUCGCAAGCUUAAAACUUCAAAGAAUUGCCGGGGGCUCGCACAAGCGGUGGAGCAUGUGGCUCAAUUCGAAGCAACGCGAAGAACCUUAUCCCGGAUUUGACAUGGUAGAAGUAAGAAGUGGAAACACUUAUGACCGGUAUCCAAUCCGGAACUAUCACAGGUGCUGCAUGGCUGUCGUCAGCUCGUGCUGUGAAGUGUCGGGUUAAGUCCCAUAACGAGCGAAACCCCUAUCGUUAGUUGCCAUCAGGUCAAGCUGGGCACUCUAACGAGACUGCCGGUGUUAAACCGGAGGAAGGCGGGGAUGACGUCAAGUCCUCAUGGCCUUUAUAUCCAGGGCUGCACACGUGCUACAAUGCCGAUGACAAACCGAUGCAAGACCGUAAGGUGGAGCGAAUCGGAGAAAAAUCG
rnacentral:rRNA from 1 species